CCUACGGGGAGCUGCAGUGAGGAAUAUUGGUCAAUGGGCGCGAGCCUGAACCAGCAAAGUAGCGUGAAGGAUGACUGCCCUACGGGUUGUACACUUCUUUUAUAAAGGAAUAAAGUGAGGCACGUGUGCCUUUUUGUAUGUACUUUAUGAAUAAGGAUCGGCUAACUCCGUGCCAGCAGCCGCGGUAAUACGGAGGAUCCGAGCGUUAUCCGGGUUUAUUGGGUUUAAAGGGAGCGGAGAUGGGUUGUUAAGUCAGUUGUGAAAGUUUGCGGCUCAACCGUGAAAUUGCAAUUGCUACUGGCAGCCUUGAGUACAGUUGAGGUAGGCGGAAUUCGUGGUGUAGCGGUGAAAUGCUUAGAUAUCACGAAGAACUCCGAUUGCGAAGGCAGGUUUCUAAACUGCCACUGACAUUGAUGCUCGAAAGUGUGGGUAUCAAACAGGAUUAGAUACCCGUGUAGUC
rnacentral:rRNA from 1 species